rnacentral:lncRNA from 1 species
AAUAAAAAAGAAACUUUCAUUUCCUGGUCACAGAAAAGAGAAUGCCCGAACAGGAGGAGGCCUUAGAAUAUGGAACAGAGAAUAUAAGAGCAAAGAUGGAUCUUGGAACACAGCCUUGCUGCCCCCAGGCUCAUGACUCUGAUGUAGACUUAUAGGUGACUUUCCUUGGUGGAUACUUGGUGUGUCUCUUGGUUUCCAGUGUAGAUUCUACCAUCAGCUAAAGCUGCUUCAU